GACGGAAGGUGCAAGCGUUGCUCGGAAUCACUGGGCGUAAAGAGCUUGUAGGCGGUCUGUCGCGUCUGCUGUGAAAAUCCGGGGCUCAACCCCGGACUUGCAGUGGGUACGGGCAGACUAGAGUGUGGUAGGGGAGACUGGAAUUCCUGGUGUAGCGGUGAAAUGCGCAGAUAUCAGGAGGAACACCGAUGGCGAAGGCAGGUCUCUGGGCCACUACUGACGCUGAGAAGCGAAAGCAUGGGGAGCGAACAGG
rnacentral:rRNA from 1 species